rnacentral:rRNA from 1 species
AGGAUUAGAUACCCUAGUAUAAUUAAAGAAGGGGGGAUAAGUAUAUAAUAUUGAAAAUUAAUGAUUUUGGCGGUUAAUUAAUAUAUUAGAGGGGUUUGUUUUGGAAAAGUAAAUUCUCUUUAUAUUUAUAAAUUUUAAUGUUUAUUCAUCUCCGUUAUUAGGUAUAUUUAUUUAUAUUAUAGAAGAUUGAUUUUUAAUUUCAGGUCAAGAUGUAGCUUAAACUUUAAAUAAAAAUUAACUAAGUUAGUCAUUAUUCAUCUUUUUAGGUUAUAUAUGAGGGAAGUAAAUUUAAUUGUAAUAAUAUUUAUAAAGAUAUUAUGAAAUUAUUUAAUUAGUGUACAGAUUGCCCGUCACUUCUAUUUAAGGAUAGAAUAAGUCGUAACAAAGUAAAUUUAAGGGA